rnacentral:misc_RNA from 1 species
GAUGAAGAACGUAGCGAAAUGCGAUAAGUAAUGUGAAUUGCAGAAUUCAGUGAAUCAUCGAAUCUUUGAACGCACAUUGCGCCCUCUGGUAUUCCGGGGGGCAUGCCUGUUCGAGCGUCAUUAUAACCACUCAAGCUUUCGCUUGGUAUUGGGGCUCGCGGUUCCGCGGCCCCUAAAAUCAGUGGCGGUGCCUGUCGGCUCUACGCGUAGUAAUACUCCUCGCGAUUGAGUCCGGUAGGUCUACUUGCCAGCAACCCCCAAUUUUUACUGGUUGACCUCGGAUCAGGUAGGGAUACCCGCUGAACUUAAGCAUAUCAAUAACGAGGA